rnacentral:misc_RNA from 1 species
UUUUAAUAAUUUUGAAGAAAGAAUGCAGUGCAACAAAAGGUAAAUAUAACUAUCAUGGAUAUAGCAAUAUUUCAAUUUAUUCUACUUCUCUUGUAUUUUGUGUUUCUUCACUAUGUUAGUGGUCAAGGAGAUACUAUGACUACAACUCAAUUCAUUAAACAUGGUGAUACUAUUGUUUCGUCUCGUGGAACGUUCGAGUUAGGAUUCUUCAGUCGUGGAGAGACUUCUACAAAUCACUAUGUUGGAAUAUGGUACAAGAAAACCUCUGCUACUACUCCUGUUUGGGUUGCCAAUAGACUAGCUCCUAUCACUAAUAAAUAUGGGGUGUUGAAAGUUUUUCAGCCAGGUCUGAUUGUACUUGUGGAUGAUACUAAUGCAAUUGUUUGGUCCACGAAUUCAUCGAAGUCUGUGCAGAAUCCUGUUGCUCAGUUGUUGGACACGGGGAAUUUUG